rnacentral:lncRNA from 1 species
AGGAGCAAUUUUAUAUUUUACUUAUACUCAUUUGUGGAAAAAAAAGGAUAUUCAGAAUUCUUGAGUCAAUAUGGUCCACGCAUCGCGUGGGUAUAUUUAAUAAGCAAAAUAAAUGGAAUCGAAAAAAAAAACCAUUUCUUGUUUUCAUCUUGUUGCAUCCAUUUUGGCACUUUUAUGUGAUGCCUGCAUAAAAUAGAAGAAGCAUCAGGAGCAAUUAUAUAUUCUACUUGUUAUUCAUUUGUGGCAAAAAAUAAGAGUAAUGGUAAAUAACAUGAUAUAAAAUUUCUCUCCUCCUUACCAUCUUCAUAAAUGAGUAGGAGAAUGGUGAAUAUAGGAGUAUAUAAUUUCUCUUACGAAAAUAAGAGGAGUUCUAUUUUCAUUUGACUUUUGACUAAUAUAUACAACUUGUGCUACAAAAUAUAAAAAACAAUGGCCUUUAUAAAAAUAUAAGGAAGAAUAGUGAUAAUGUUUUGCCCUUUCAUCAUUAUCACAUUUAUGAGAUUAAUAAAUGUCUGUAUUAGAUUAUAAUAAUAUUUUGCUUAGAAGUGCAGAAAAUAGGAAAAAGCAAUGUAAAUAUGUAGUAAAAUAGAAAGAAACA